rnacentral:lncRNA from 1 species
CUAGAUGAGAGGAGCCUAGGCAACAGGGCUGUCCACACACGGUGCUGAAUACCCAGGUGCUCAAUAUGAACAUUACUCCAUGGCACUGGGGAGCCACGGACGGGAUUUGAGCAGAGCAGGAAUCUCCCAUCUUCACUUGUUCCUCUCCUCCACCAGUACAUCAUCCGGUGCUCAGAAAUCCCAAAGCUCCCCGCAGUCUCACUCCUCAUUGGGGGGGUCUGGUUUAAUCUCACGGCCCAGGAUUACGUCAUCCAGUUUGCUCAGGGUGACGUCCGCCUCUGCUUGUCCGGCUUCCGGGCCUUGGACAUCGCUUCGCCUCCAGUACCUGUGUGGAUCCUCGGCGACGUUUUCUUGGGGGCGUAUGUGACCGUCUUCGACCGCGGGGACAUGAAGAGCGGCGCACGAGUGGGACUGGCGCGCGCUCGCCCUCGCGGAGCGGACCUGGGAAGGCGCGAGACCGCGCAGGCGCAGUACCGCGGGUGCCGCCCAGGUGAUGCGCAUGCGCACCGGGUAGCAGAGCUAGCGCUACUCAGUAAAAAUCCAAUAUUUCCAUUGAACGAA